rnacentral:sRNA from 1 species
UAGUCAGCCCUGGAGACUAAAAUUCUUUAUUUAAAGGCCAGGUACAACAUUGGCAUUGGCAAUGCAAGCUUCCCUCACCCUCCCCAACCCUCCGGCGCCUCCCACACAUGCUUCAGCCCUACCUGGAUGGGACACAUCUAGGAGAGAGAUGGUCAUUCAGUCUUCACUCCAAUUUUCCUUACUUCCA